AGGAAUGUUACCAGCUAUUAUCAUAUAGGGUUGAUUCUUGUUCAGGACAAUUUAGGAAUGUUUAAGUACAAGAUGCUUUGGUCACCAAUAAGCCAAUGUGCCCUUGCUAAACCCAAGCAUUAUGGCAAUUUCAGGAUAUUUAAGCUGUCUAACUUAAUCUAUCUCUAUUGAUUACAUCCUUAUAUGUAUAUGGUUUCUAUAUGUAAAUUGCUAACAGGUUAG